CCUACGGGUGACAGCAGUGAGGAAUAUUGGUCAAUGGACGAGAGUCUGAACCAGCCAAGUAGCGUGAAGGAUGACUGCCCUAUGGGUUGUAAACUUCUUUUAUAAAGGAAUAAAACGAGGCACGUGUGCCUUUUUGCAUGUACUUUAUGAAUAAGGAUAGGCUAACUCCGUGCCAGCAGCCGCGGUAAUAAGGAGGAUCCGAGCGUUAUCCGGAUUUAUGGGGUUUAAAGGGAGCGUAGAUGGGUUGUUAAGUCAGUUGUGAAAUUUUGCGGCUCAACCGUAAAAUUGCAAUUGAUACUGGCAGUCUUGAGUACAGUUGAGGUAGGCGGAAUUCGUGGUGUAGCGGUGAAAUGCUUAGAUAUCACGAAGAACCCCGAUUGCGAAGGCAGCUUACUAAACUGUGACUGACAUUGAUGCUCGAAAGUGUGGGUAUCAAACAGGAUUAGAUACCCGUGUAGUC
rnacentral:rRNA from 1 species